CACUCCUGCGGGAGGCAGCAGUGGGGAAUUUUGGACAAUGGGCGAAAGCCUGAUCCAGCAAUGCCGCGUGUGUGAAGAAGGCCUUCGGGUUGUAAAGCACUUUUGUCCGGAAAGAAAUCCUUGGCUCUAAUACAGUCGGGGGAUGACGGUACCGGAAGAAUAAGCACCGGCUAACUACGUGCCAGCAGCCGCGGUAAUACGUAGGGUGCGAGCGUUAAUCGGAAUUACUGGGCGUAAAGCGUGCGCAGGCGGUUUGCUAAGACCGAUGUGAAAUCCCCGGGCUCAACCUGGGAACUGCAUUGGUGACUGGCAGGCUAGAGUAUGGCAGAGGGGGGUAGAAUUCCACGUGUAGCAGUGAAAUGCGUAGAGAUGUGGAGGAAUACCGAUGGCGAAGGCAGCCCCCUGGGCCAAUACUGACGCUCAUGCACGAAAGCGUGGGGAGCAAACAGGAUUAGAAACCCCGGUAGUCCCAUG
rnacentral:rRNA from 1 species